CUAAAGCGUCGGUAACCGGUUUGUAAAUCUCCAGAUAAAGCCUGAAGCUUAACUCCAGAAAGUCUGAAGAGACUGCAAGACUUGAGAUCGGGUGAGGUUAAACGUACUUUCAGGGUAGGGGUAAAAUCCUGUAAUCCCGGAAGGACGACCAGUGGCGAAAGCGUUUAACUAGAACGAAUCUGACGGUAAGGAACGAAGGCUAGGGUAGCAAACCGGAUUAGAUACCCGGGUAGUCCUAGCUGUAAACAUUGCCCAUUUGAUGUUGCUUUCCCGUUGAGGGAAGGCAGUGUCGGAGCGAAGGUGUUAAAUGGGCCGCUUGGGAAGUAUGGUCGCAAGACUGAAACUUAAAGGAAUUGGCGGGGGAGCACCGCAACGGGAGGAAUGUGCGGUUUAAUUGGAUUCAACGCCGGAAAACUCACCGGGAACGACCUGUGCAUGAGAGUCAACUUGACGAGCUUACUCGAUAGCAGGAGAGGUGGUGCAUGGCCGUCGUCAGCUCGUACCGUAGGGCGUUCACUUAAGUGUGAUAACGAGCGAGACCCACAUCUUUAAUUGCAAAUGUAUAUGGGAAUAUGCAUGCACUUUAGAGAAACCGCCAGCGCUAAGCUGGAGGAAGGAGUGGUCGACGGCAGGUCAGUACGCCCCGAAUUUCCCGGGCUACACGCGCAUUACAAAGAACGGGACAAUACGUUGCAACCUCGAAAGAGGGAGCCAAUCGCGAAACCCGUCCAUAGUUAGGAUUGAGGGCUGUAAC
rnacentral:rRNA from 1 species